rnacentral:rRNA from 1 species
UACAGAGGGUGCAAGCGUUGUUCGGAACUAUUGGGCGUAAAGGGCGCGUAGGCGGUGCGGUAAGUCUGUAGUGAAAUCUCUGGGCUCAACUCAGAGUCUGCUGCAGAAACUGCCGUGCUUGAGUGUGGGAGAGGUGAGUGGAAUUCCCGGUGUAGCGGUGAAAUGCGUAGAUAUCAGGAGGAACACCUGUGGUGUAGACGGCUUUCUGGACCGUAGCUGACGCUGAGACACGAAAGCGUGGGUAGCAAACAGG